UGUCUGUGGGGGACAGACUGGCAGUUAGUCAGGGACAAAGGGGGCAUUGGGAAGAGCGGGGCUCUGUGUGUGGAGGACACUGGCAGUUAGUCGGGGAUGUGGGGGGAAUGCUGUGGAAGAGCGGGGCUCUGUCUGAGACACAGACCUGCACUCGAGUUCAUAAUGGGUGGAUGGAAGUUUCUGUAAGAGCAACUUCCAUUAGUGAAGAACCGACUGUCAGCCAGGCAUAUGGGGAGAAGGAAGGUUCUGGAAGUGCCGAGUUCUGUUUGUGAAGUUGUGGGGGGGAAGGAGGGGAGAGAUACUGGCAGUAAGCAGGGGCGGCUCCAGGCCCCAGCACUCCAAGCGCAUGCUUGGGGCGGCAAGCCGUGGGGGGCGCUCUGCCGUCGCCGCAAGGGCGGCAGGCAGGCUAUCUUCCACGGCUUUCCUGCAGGAAGUCCGCUGGUCCCGCGGCUUCGGCGGACCUCCCGCAGGCAUGGCCUCUGCAGGCAAGCUGCCGAACGCAGCCUGCCUGCCGUGCUUGGGGCGGCGAAAUGCCUAGAGCCGCCCCUGGCAGUAAGUCAGCGAUGAGAACAGUGGAGGAAAGUUUGUGACAGAGCUCAGCUCAUGGGAUGGGGGCCUGCGGGUGGUGGGGAAUUGACUGGCAGUUAGGGAUAUCACUGGGGCUGUGGAGGGGAGUGGGGAAGAUUUUGGCAGGGCUGGGGCAGUUAAUAAGAUGGAGGCAGAGGACAGACUAGCAGGGAGGCAGGUCAGGGAUGGUGUGUGGAGGACAGCUUUGAGAAGUAAUGGGGUUUAUUAGUGAAGCACAGACUGAAUGGCCAUCAGGAGUAUAGAGAUGGAAGGUUCUGGAAGAGCUUGGUUUCGUUGGGGGCAGAGCCUGACAGUUAAUCAGAGAUUGUGGAGUCGGGGGCUAGAAGGUUCUGCCAUAGCCAGGGCAGUUCCAGGAGGUGGUGGUGGGAUGGGGGUGGGGUAGAGAAUAGACCAGCAGUUAGUCAGGAAUAGCACAAGGGGGUGGGAAGGAAGCUCUGGCUCUUAGUUUCGGGCAGACAGUCAGUCAGGGGUGUGUUUGUAGGGAUGGAAGAUUCUGGAAGAGCAAGAGUCUGACUGUGAAUGGGAAACAGAAUGAGGGGUAGAGUGUAGGAAUGGGAGGCUCUUGCAGAAUCGGGGGAGUUACUAAGGAGGUACAGACGUGAACAAUUGAGAACGGGUUCUGGCAAUGCAUGAACGGGAGACAGAUUGGUAGUUAGCAGAGCUGGUUGAAAUUUUCAUUCUGAGCCUUUUUUUGUUGUCUUUUUUAUCAAAACUAAAAUGGAGAAAAAAUUAAGUUUACCUCGGUAUUGCAUUUUUGUCUAAAAGACAGAAUAUAUUGAUGAUUCAGUUGCCACAACUUGCAAAUUCUUCCAUUUUCAAUCAAAACCUGAAAGCUUGAUUUAAACAAGGUUUUUUUUGUUGUGUUGAAAUUUUUCACCAAAGAAAAAUGUUUUCAGUCAGUUCUAUCAGUUAUUGCAGGAUAUCACAGCACCUGGAGAAGCGGCAAUUAGCUGAAGGGAAAUGCUCCAGAAAUACUGGAUAGAGCAGGGUAGGGAACGGUUUUCCCAUCCUGUGAGAAUUUCUGCAGUCUUUGAAGUCUUGCAAUCCUGAAUCACGACAAAAAGUCAAAAUCCAAAAAUUUUCAUGAACCUGGAGGAGAAAAAAUAUUCAGCUGGUGACCCCCUCACGCCUGCAGCAUGUGGAUCGUGGAGUCAGGAAGUGGAACUGAACUGCAGCUUUCCAAAUGGAUUUUGGUCCCCUUCAGUGAUUAUAAAGAAGGUGCAGGGGAAGAGGCCCUUCACAAGUCUGAAAUGCAGAGCACGGUCUGACACCUGAGAUCACACAGGAAAGAAGCACAAGAUCACCCUCAGUGUCCCCGCUGGCAUCGACUCGCUGCAGGGCUUGGAGCAGCUGGGAUCCUCAUCCUGCUGGGAGCUGUGAUAGUGAUGGGCGUUUGGGGUAAGCAGUUCAAAAUUAAUUUGUGCAAAAUGCAGCACCCUGAAAUUUCCUCUCCCCCCAUAUUUCUGAUUCCAAUGCUUUUGUGAAUAAUAUCCUGGACUCUUGAUUAUCAUCUACAAGGGAACAAUAUCGCAUGAAGAAGGUAGUGUUGGAACUUGAUACAUGAGCCCCAUGUGAUCCAGCUCUCACAACGUCACUGUUCAGUGUGCACAGGGAAAAGUGGAAGACACCUUAUAAUGUGUAAUAAAUGAGAUUUUCUCUCUUUCUCUGUAAUGCUCUCUCUCUCUUUGGCCCGGUUUCUGAAUUUGAUAGCUACAGUAUGUUAACAAUGUAAUGGUUUAUUACACACACCCUCAUUCUCAGUUUGCUAAUCCCUAAGUAGUAGUUGCCGCUCAUGCUCACACUCUUCUGAAGUUUCUCAGCUCAAAGGACGUCUGAAUUCACUGGAGAACAACAGUACCAGGGAGAGAAUCAUCCAUCAAUCCAACUUCAGCAAUGGCCUAAAAGAUUUCCAUUUCCAGUUGAAACAAUUUGUGUGUGAAUCAUCUCACAGCAACUCAGCAGGUAACCU